rnacentral:rRNA from 1 species
GCUAGGAUGUUGGCUUAGAAGCAGCCAUCAUUUAAAGAAAGCGUAAUAGCUCACUGGUCGAGUCGGCCUGCGCGGAAGAUGUAACGGGGCUAAACCAUGCACCGAAGCUGCGGCAGCGACACUAUGUGUUGUUGGGUAGGGGAGCGUUCUGUAAGCCUGCGAAGGUGUGCUGUGAGGCAUGCUGGAGGUAUCAGAAGUGCGAAUGCUGACAUAAGUAACGAUAAAGCGGGUGAAAAGCCCGCUCGCCGGAAGACCAAGGGUUCCUGUCCAACGUUAAUCGGGGCAGGGUGAGUCGACCCCUAAGGCGAGGCCGAAAGGCGUAGUCGAUGGGAAACAGGUUAAUAUUCCUGUACUUGGUGUUACUGCGAAGGGGGGACGGAGAAGGCUAUGUUAGCCGGGCGACGGUUGUCCCGGUUUAAGCAUGUAGGCUGGUUGUCCAGGCAAAUCCGGAUAAUCAAGGCUGAGGUGUGAUGACGAGGCACUACGGUGCUGAAGUAACAAAUGCCCUGCUUCCAGGAAAAGCCUCUAAGCAUCAGGUAACAUUAAAUCGUACCCCAAACCGACACAGGUGGUCAGGUAGAGAAUACCAAGGCGCUUGAGAGAACUCGGGUGAAGGAACUAGGCAAAAUGGUGCCGUAACUUCGGGAGAAGGCACGCUGGUGUGUAGGUGAAGUCCCUGCGGAUGGAGCUGAGACCAGUCGAAGAUACCAGCUGGCUGCAACUGUUUAUUAAAAACACAGCACUGUGCAAACACGAAAGUGGACGUAUACGGUGUGACGCCUGCCCGGUGCCGGAAGGUUAAUUGAUGGGGUUAUCCGUAAGGAGAAGCUCUUGAUCGAAGCCCCGGUAAACGGCGGCCGUAACUAUAACGGUCCUAAGGUAGCGAAAUUCCUUGUCGGGUAAGUUCCGACCUGCACGAAUGGCGUAAUGAUGGCCAGGCUGUCUCCACCCGAGACUCAGUGAAAUUGAACUCGCUGUGAAGAUGCAGUGUACCCGCGGCAAGACGGAAAGACCCCGUGAACCUUUACUAUAGCUUGACACUGAACAUUGAGCCUUGAUGUGUAGGAUAGGUGGGAGGCUUUGAAGCGUGGACGCCAGUCUGCGUGGAGCCAACCUUGAAAUACCACCCUUUAAUGUUUGAUGUUCUAACGUUGGCCCCUUACCGGGGUUGCGGACAGUGUCUGGUGGGUAGUUUGACUGGGGCGGUCUCCUCCCAAAGCGUAACGGAGGAGCACGAAGGUUAGCUAAUCCUGGUCGGACAUCAGGAGGUUAGUGCAAUGGCAUAAGCUAGCUUGACUGCGAGCGUGACGGCGCGAGCAGGUGCGAAAGCAGGUCAUAGUGAUCCGGUGGUUCUGAAUGGAAGGGCCAUCGCUCAACGGAUAAAAGGUACUCCGGGGAUAACAGGCUGAUACCGCCCAAGAGUUCAUAUCGACGGCGGUGUUUGGCACCUCGAUGUCGGCUCAUCACAUCCUGGGGCUGAAGUAGGUCCCAAGGGUAUGGCUGUUCGCCAUUUAAAGUGGUACGCGAGCUGGGUUUAGAACGUCGUGAGACAGUUCGGUCCCUAUCUGCCGUGGGCGCUGGAGAAUUGAGGGGGGCUGCUCCUAGUACGAGAGGACCGGAGUGGACGCAUCACUGGUGUUCGGGUUGUCAUGCCAAUGGCACUGCCCGGUAGCUAAAUGCGGAAGAGAUAAGUGCUGAAAGCAUCUAAGCACGAAACUUGCCCCGAGAUGAGUUCUCCCUGAGACUUUAAGUCUCCUGAAGGAACGUUAAAGACGAUGACGUUGAUAGGCCGGGUGUGUAAGCGCAGCGAUGCGUUGAGCUAACCGGUACUAAUGAACCGUGAGGCUUAACCUU